GCAGUCGCCGCGGUAAUACGUAGGUGGCAAGCGUUGUCCGGAAUUAUUGGGCGUAAAGGGCUCGCAGGCGGUUUCUUAAGUCUGAUGUGAAAGCCCCCGGCUCAACCGGGGAGGGUCAUUGGAAACUGGGAAACUUGAGUGCAGAAGAGGAGAGUGGAAUUCCACGUGUAGCGGUGAAAUGCGUAGAGAUGUGGAGGAACACCAGUGGCGAAGACGACUCUCUGGUCUGUAACUGACGCUGAGGAGCGAAAGCGUGGGGAGCGAACAGGAUUAGAUACCCCGGUAGUCCCUGUCUCUUAUAC
rnacentral:rRNA from 1 species